CCGGAGUUCGUCACCUGUGUGAUUUAGCUGUCGGGAUGCGCUAAGAUGACUGCUCAAGGGUGAGCCUGCCAGUUAAGGCGGACGCCAGGAAUUGGAGACUGACACACCAAACGCAUAUCCAGGCCCCCCACCUUGAGUCCGCUUUGUUUUUUGUUUGUUUGCUUGUUUUUCUGUUUGACACAACUUCUCAACCGUGUGCCCCACAGGAAACCUGUAGCUUGGAGUGGGUUCAGGGGUGCCUUGGAUGCUCCCAGGAAAGGAGGGGAACCCUUGCAGUUCCGGAGGAAUUCGGAGACGCAAUCACUCGACCCCGGGAGCACACCACACCGGCAGGCUGAAGAGCUCAGCACUCUUCAUUUCCGAACGAAGGUCACAGCUGAUAACUUCAGGGACACCAGAUCCGGUUGCUCAGCUGCCUGAUGCUAGCUUUGGCCAUAAAUUUGCAGAAGAAAAGAAAUGCAAGACCUUAAUUACUUUGAGCCUUAUCACCUAUCCCAGACCACGAGCCCCAAGCUAUAAAAACCUUUCCCAGUGGCGGGGCGGGGGCACAGUUCUUGAGACUCUAGCCUGCUGUGUUCCCCCUUUUGCCUAGCAAAGAAUAAAGCUACUUUUUCUCCUUCAAAA